rnacentral:rRNA from 1 species
GCACUUCGCUGACGAGUGGCGGACGGGUGAGUAAUGCUUGGGAACUUGCCUUUGCGAGGGGGAUAACAGUUGGAAACGACAGCUAAUACCGCAUAAUGUCUACGGACCAAACGGGGCUUCGGCUCCGGCGCAGAGAGAGGCCCAAGUGAGAUUAGCUAGUUGGUAAGGUAAAGGCUUACCAAGGCGACGAUCUCUAGCUGUUCUGAGAGGAAGAUCAGCCACACUGGGACUGAGACACGGCCCAGACUCCUACGGGAGGCAGCAGUGGGGAAUAUUGCACAAUGGGGGAAACCCUGAUGCAGCCAUGCCGCGUGUGUGAAGAAGGCCUUCGGGUUGUAAAGCACUUUCAGUUGUGAGGAAAAGUUAGUAGUUAAUACCUGCUAGCCGUGACGUUAACAACAGAAGAAGCACCGGCUAACUCCGUGCCAGCAGCCGCGGUAAUACGGAGGGUGCGAGCGUUAAUCGGAAUUACUGGGCGUAAAGCGCACGCAGGCGGUUUGUUAAGCUAGAUGUGAAAGCCCCGGGCUCAACCUGGGAUGGUCAUUUAGAACUGGCAGACUAGA